AGAGUUUGAUCAUGGCUCAGAACGAACGUUGGCGGCGUGCUUAACACAUGCAAGUCGAACGAGAAAGUUCCUUCGGGAAUGAGUAAAGUGGCGCACGGGUGAGUAACACGUAGAUAAUCUGUCCAGGUGUUCGGGAUAGCCCUUCGAAAGGGGGAUUAAUACCGGAUACGUUGGUUUGUCAUAAGACGAAUCAAGAAAGGUGGCCUCUAUUUAUAAGCUAUCGCAUUUGGAGGAGUCUGCGUACCAUUAGUUUGUUGGUGGGGUAAUGGCCUACCAAGACUUCGAUGGUUAGCGGGUCUGAGAGGAUGAUCCGUCACACUGGCACUGAAACACGGGCCAGACUCCUACGGGAGGCAGCAGUGAGGAAUAUUGCGCAAUGGGGGAAACCCUGACGCAGCGACGCCGCGUGGGUGAGGAAGGCUUUCGGGUCGUAAAGCCCUGUCAGGUGGGAAGAAAUGGUUAUAAGUUAAUAACUUAUAGCUUUGACGGUACCACCAAAGGAAGCACCGGCUAACUCCGUGCCAGCAGCCGCGGUAAUACGGAGGGUGCAAACGUUGUUCGGAAUCACUGGGCGUAAAGGGCGCGCAGGCGGUUUGAUUAGUCAGAUGUGAAAGCCCACGGCUUAA
rnacentral:rRNA from 1 species